UUUGUUGCUUUCCACCUUCUCAUUGUCCAUUCUUUCCUUUUUCAGCUCGCGAACACUUUCAGGAAAAACUAGCUCAAGCAAUACCUUAUUACCUCAUUAAAUAUGCAAUACCUUGAAGAGCUGCUGUGAUUGAUUAAAUACCGUUCAGCAAAUAUUUCCCUCUAGGCUCCCCUUCCCUGUGGGACAGAGUCUACUUCCCCUCGAUUCCCGGGUUCCCACCGUGGGCUUGGCCAUGUGACUUGCUUUGGCCAAUGGGAUGUGGACAGAAGUCCACGUGACACUUCUGAGCCCCAGAAGCCGCUUUAGAUCAUGUUCUGGGAGCCAGAGGUCCUUCAGCGUGGGUCCCGCAAGAAGUCACUGGUAGCAACCUAAAUCCUGAACCCGAAGCUCAGCCCAAGGAGGAGCUGCUGCCGCUGACCUGCAGACCUUUAUCCUGCCGGCUUGAAAUUCCUCUUGAGACAGGAUUUGCCUAGAACCUACUGUCCUGAAUCCAAAUCAUUUGUUUAACUUACAGAAGCAUGUAACCAAAAUGGAAAUCAAGUACCAUGGACCUGGACGGUGGGGGCCUGAAUUAAAAUCACUCAAGACAGGAAGAAUUUGACAUGGUCAAUCAGACUUCAGAGCCAAGGCAGGAGGAGAAGAAGAAUUUCUCCAUGUCCAGCAACAUUCCAGCCAGUGAGAAACUGCUUCACUCAGCUAGAGUAAAGCCGUGACCUGAACUCUUGGAAGCAGUCACUCCUGACUUCCUUCUUUCCUCCAUAAAAGCAAGUUAGUCUCCCCGGUUAUCUACUCUUACCUGUGGUUUGCCAUACUUUGCUUGUCCCAAAUUGCAGUUCUCUGGUAUUCCCAAAUAAACUUAUUUUGCUGCUAAAA